rnacentral:lncRNA from 1 species
GUCAGCAGAGAUUUUAGGUGUUCUGACAGCCCCCACCCUCUCACACUUUAGUGCUAAAACUAAUGCAUAUCAUUACGUUGCCCACUCCUGAAACAACCGAUUUGUGGCUGUUUGUGUUGCAGGACCAGCACUGCCUGAUAUAUAAUGAACCCUGUUUACCCACAGCAGGUGGAUAUGACGUCACGGACUUGGAACAUCAAAACAACAACACCACCACAUCCAAAUCCGCGAUUCUUCCCCUUUUUCCCUGCUUUUUUCCCCUCGCCGUGUUAAAGAAUCUAAUAAGAACAUUAAGAGCGGGAGCCAGUGCCCUUUUUCUCCCUCUUUUCCUCUCCGGUGCGAGGCACACACAGAGGGAACUCAGCGUUUCUCGCUUUGUUUCGACGCUUUCGACUAGAGCGCUAUGGAGAGGAAGUGACACCACGCCAAGCCACGACUGAGCGCUUACGUCACAACUCCUCUCUCCUCAAGACAGCAAAAGAGGAAUGGAGUGCCAGUGUGCCCUGCACCAGUGAUUGGGGUAUGUAGCAAAUCUCCUACUUGGGUAUCCCAUUGCGUACAUAAAGUGUGUGCUGUUUGUCUGGGAAGUGUCCCCAAAACACUAUUAGAUGUGAACAUUU